CACCGGAGCUUGCUCCACCGAAAGAAAAGGAGUGGCGAACGGGUGAGUAACACGUGGGUAACCUGCCCAUCAGAAGGGGAUAACACUUGGAAACAGGUGCUAAUACCGUAUAACAAUCGAAACCGCAUGGUUUUGAUUUGAAAGGCGCUUUCGGGUGUCGCUGAUGGAUGGACCCGCGGUGCAUUAGCUAGUUGGUGAGGUAACGGCUCACCAAGGCCACGAUGCAUAGCCGACCUGAGAGGGUGAUCGGCCACAUUGGGACUGAGACACGGCCCAAACUCCUACGGGAGGCAGCAGUAGGGAAUCUUCGGCAAUGGACGAAAGUCUGACCGAGCAACGCCGCGUGAGUGAAGAAGGUUUUCGGAUCGUAAAACUCUGUUGUUAGAGAAGAACAAGGAUGAGAGUAACUGUUCAUCCCUUGACGGUAUCUAACCAGAAAGCCACGGCUAACUACGUGCCAGCAGCCGCGGUAAUACGUAGGUGGCAAGCGUUGUCCGGAUUUAUUGGGCGUAAAGCGAGCGCAGGCGGUUUCUUAAGUCUGAUGUGAAAGCCCCCGGCUCAACCGGGGAGGGUCAUUGGAAACUGGGAGACUUGAGUGCAGAAGAGGAGAGUGGAAUUCCAUGUGUAGCGGUGAAAUGCGUAGAUAUAUGGAGGAACACCAGUGGCGAAGGCGACUCUCUGGUCUGUAACUGACGCUGAGGCUCGAAAGCGUGGGGAGCAAACAGGAUUAGAUACCCUGGUAGUCCACGCCGUAAACGAUGAGUGCUAAGUGUUGGAGGGUUUCCGCCCUUCAGUGCUGCAGCUAACGCAUUAAGCACUCCGCCUGGGGAGUACGACCGCAAGGUUGAAACUCAAAGGAAUUGACGGGGGCCCGCACAAGCGGUGGAGCAUGUGGUUUAAUUCGAAGCAACGCGAAGAACCUUACCAGGUCUUGACAUCCUUUGACCACUCUAGAGAUAGAGCUUCCCCUUCGGGGGCAAAGUGACAGGUGGUGCAUGGUUGUCGUCAGCUCGUGUCGUGAGAUGUUGGGUUAAGUCCCGCAACGAGCGCAACCCUUAUUGUUAGUUGCCAUCAUUUAGUUGGGCACUCUAGCAAGACUGCCGGUGACAAACCGGAGGAAGGUGGGGAUGACGUCAAAUCAUCAUGCCCCUUAUGACCUGGGCUACACACGUGCUACAAUGGGAAGUACAACGAGUCGCGAAGUCGCGAGGCUAAGCUAAUCUCUUAAAGCUUCUCUCAGUUCGGAUUGUAGGCUGCAACUCGCCUACAUGAAGCCGGAAUCGCUAGUAAUCGCGGAUCAGCACGCCGCGGUGAAUACGUUCCCGGGCCUUGUACACACCGCCCGUCACACCACGAAAGUUUGUAACACCC
rnacentral:rRNA from 2 species